GUGCCAGCAGCCGCGGUAAUACGGAGGGUGCAAGCGUUGUCCGGAUUUAUUGGGUUUAAAGGGUGCGUAGGCGGCCCGUUAAGUCAGUGGUGAAAGCCUCCAGCUCAACUGGAGAACUGCCAUUGAUACUGACGGGCUUGAGUACAGACGAGGUUGGCGGAAUUGAUUGUGUAGCGGUGAAAUGCAUAGAUACAAUCAAGAACUCCGAUUGCGUAGGCAGCUAACUAGGCUGUAACUGACGCUGAGGCACGAAAGCGUGGGGAGCGAACAGGAUUAGAAACCCCCGUAGUCC
rnacentral:rRNA from 1 species